UACGUAGGCAGCGAGCGUUGUUCGGAAUUGACUGGGCGUAAAGAGUUGUGUAGGCGGUAGCUCUGAAGUUCGGUGUGAAAUCUCCUGGCUCAACUGGAGGGUGGCGCCGGAAACUGGAGUGCUUGAGGCGUGGGAAGAGGAAAGCGGAAUUCCUGGUGUAGCGGUGAAAUGCGUAGAUAUCGAGGCAGGAACACCUGUGGUGUAGACCGGCUUUCGUGGACCAUGAGCUGACGCUGAGACACGAAAGCGUCGGGUAGCAAACAGG
rnacentral:rRNA from 1 species